GGCGCAUUAGCUAGUUGGUGGGGUAAAGGCUUACCAAGGCAAUGAUGCGUAGCCGAACUGAGAGGUUGAUCGGCCACAUUGGGACUGAGACACGGCCCAAACUCCUACGGGAGGCAGCAGUAGGGAAUCUUCCACAAUGGGCGAAAGCCUGAUGGAGCAACGCCGCGUGGGUGAAGAAGGUCUUCGGAUCGUAAAACCCUGUUGUUAGAGAAGAAAGUGCGUGAGAGUAACUGUUCACGUUUCGACGGUAUCUAACCAGAAAGCCACGGCUAACUACGUGCCAGCAGCCGCGGUAAUACGUAGGUGGCAAGCGUUAUCCGGAUUUAUUGGGCGUAAAGGGAACGCAGGCGGUCUUUUAAGUCUGAUGUGAAAGCCUUCGGCUUAACCGGAGUAGUGCAUUGGAAACUGGGAGACUUGAGUGCAGAAGAGGAGAGUGGAACUCCAUGUGUAGCGGUGAAAUGCGUAGAUAUAUGGAAGAACACCAGUGGCGAAAGCGGCUCUCUGGUCUGUAACUGACGCUGAGGUUCGAAAGCGUGGGUAGCAAACAGGAUUAGAUACCCUGGUAGUCCACGCCGU
rnacentral:rRNA from 1 species